rnacentral:rRNA from 1 species
GACGAACGCUGGCGGCGUGCCUAAUACAUGCAAGUCGAGCGCAGGAAACUGACGGAACUCUUCGGAGGGAAGGCAGUGGAAUGAGCGGCGGACGGGUGAGUAACACGUAAGGAACCUGCCUCAAGGAUUGGGAUAACUCCGAGAAAUCGGAGCUAAUACCGGAUAGUUCAUCGGACCGCAUGGUCCGCUGAUGAAAGGCGCUUCGGCGUCACCUUGAGAUGGCCUUGCGGUGCAUUAGCUAGUUGGUGGGGUAACGGCCCACCAAGGCGACGAGGCAUAGCCGACCUGGGAGGGUGAUCGGCCACACUGGGACUGAGACACGGCCCAGACUCCUACGGGAGGCAGCAGUAGGGAAUCUUCCACAAUGGACGAAAGUCUGACGGAGCAACGCCGCGUGAGUGAUGAAGGUUUUCGGAUCGUAAAACUCUGUUGUAAGGGAAGAACACGUACGAGAGGUAAUGCUCGUACCUUGACGGUACCUUACGAGAAAGCCACGGCUAACUACGUGCCAGCCGCCGCCGUAAGAC